CAGCCGCCACGGGAACACGGAGGGAGCUAGCGUUGUUCGGAAUUACUGGGCGUAAAGCGCACGUAGGCGGUUAUUCAAGUCAGAGGUGAAAGCCCGGGGCUCAACCCCGGAACUGCCUUUGAAACUAGAUGACUGGAAUCUUGGAGAGGUCAGAGGAAUUCCGAGUGUAGAGGUGAAAUUCGUAGAUAUUCGGAAGAACACCAGUGGCGAAGGCGACUGACUGGACAAGUAUUGACGCUGAGGUGCGAAAGCGUGGGGAGCAAACAGGAUUAGAUACCCGUGUAGUCCCUGUCUCUUAUAC
rnacentral:rRNA from 1 species